GAUGAAGAACGCAGCGAAAUGCGAUAAGUAAUGCGAAUUGCAGAAUUCAGUGAGUCAUCGAAUCUUUGAACGCACAUUGCGCCCGCCAGCAUUCUGGCGGGCAUGCCUGUUCGAGCGUCAUUUCAACCCUCGACCUCCCCUUGGGGAGGUCGGCGUUGGGGACCGGCAGCACACCGCCGGCCCUGAAAUGGAGUGGCGGCCCGUCCGCGGCGACCUCUGCGCAGUAAUACAGCUCGCACCGGGACCCCGACGCGGCCACGCCGUAAAACACCCAACUUCUGAACGUUGACCUCGAAUCAGGUAGGACUACCCGCUGAACUUAAGCAUAUCAAUAAGCGGAGGA
rnacentral:misc_RNA from 1 species